rnacentral:rRNA from 1 species
GCGACCCCAGGUCAGGCGGGAUCACCCGCUGAGUUUAAGCAUAUCAAUAAGCGAAGGAAAAGAAACUUACAAGGAUUCCCCUAGUAACGGCGAGCGAACCGGGAAUAGCCCAACUUGAGAAGCGUCCUCAGCGGCGGACUGGGUCGAGUCCCCUGGAAUGGGGCACCAUAGAGGGUGAGAGCCCCGUUGCUCUCGGACCCUAUCGCACCAUGAGGCGCUGUCGGCGAGUCGGGUUGUUUGGGAAUGCAGCCACAAUCAGGCGGUAAAUUCCAUCCAAGGCUAAAUACGGGCGAGAGACCGAUAGUGAACAAGUACCACGAGGGAAAGAUGAAAAGGACUUUGAAAAGAGAGUCAAAGAGUGCUUGAAAUUGUCGGGAGGGAAGUGGAUGGGGCCGGCGAUGCAUCCCGAUCGGAUGUGGAAUAGCUAGAGCCGGUCUGCCGAUCGACUCGAGGUGCGGACCAGCACGGAUCGAUGCGGCGCUCAAAGCUCGGGCGGUCGAUAUGCUCAUUGUAUGGCGUUGCGCCGAUCCAGGCACACAGCACGCACCUAGUGCGUGCCUCGGCAAUAGCGCGUUCCUAGUGCUGGUAUGCGGGCUCCCCAUUCGACCCGUCUUGAAACACGGAUCAAGGAGUCUGACAUGUGCGUGAGUCAACAGGCGAUUAAACCCAUAAGGCGCAAGGAAGCUGACCGGCGCGAUCCCCCCGAGGGUUGCACCACCGACCAACCUUGAUCUUCUAAGAAGGGUUCGAGUGAGUGUACAUGUCGGGACCCGAAAGAUGGUGAACUAUGCUUGAGCAGGGCGAAGCCAGAGGAAACUCUGGUGGAGGCCCGCAGCGAUACUGACGUGCAAAUCAUUCAUUUGACUUGGGUAUAGGGGCGAAAGACUAAUCGAACUGUCUAGUAGCUGGUUCCCUUUAAAGUUUCCCUCAGGAUAGCUGGAGCUCUAGUGCGAGUUCUAACGGGUAAAGCCAAUGAUUAGAGGCAUCGGGGGCGCAAUACCCUCGACCUAUUCUCAAACUUUAAAUAGGUAGGACGGGAUGAACCGGAAGUCGGGUUAUGGUGCCCAACUGUGCACUAACCUAGAUCCCACAAAGGGUGUUGGUCGAUUAAGACAGCAGGACGGUGGUCAUGGUAGUCGAAAUACCCGGCCGUCGGGGCAAGGGCCAGGCCCCGAUGCGUAGGAGGGCGCGGCGGUUGUUGCAAAACCCUGGGCGCAAGCCCGGGCGGAGCGGCCGUCGGUGUGGAUCUUGGUGGUAGUAGCAAAUAUUCAAAUGAGAACUUUGAAGCCCGAAGAGAGGAAAGGUUCCAUGUGAACGGUACUUGCACAGACAGCGCAUUCAGUGCGUGCUCCAAAAGGGAAUCAGGUUAAAAUUCCCGAACCAGGAUGCAGCGGUUGACGACAACAUUAGGGAGUCGGGAGACGUCGGCAGGGGCCUCGGGAAGAGUUAUCUUUUCUGUUUAACAGCCUACCCAUCCUGGAAACGGCUCAGCCAAAGGUAGGGUCCAGUGGCUGGAAGAGCACCGCACGUCACGUGGUGUCCGGUGCGCCCCUGACGCCCCUUGAAAAUCCAAAGGACCGAGUACCGUCCGUGCCCGGUCGUACUCAUAACUGCAUCAGGUCUCUAAGGUGAACAGCCUCUGGUCGAUGGAACAAUGUAGGCAAGGGAAGUCGGCAAAAUGGAUCCGUAACCUUGGGAAAAGGAUUGGCUCUGAGGGCUGGGCACGGGGGUCCCAGUCCUGAACCCAUCGGCUAUCGGUGAACUGCUCGAGCUGCUCGCACGGCGAGAGCGGGUCGUCGCGUGCCGGCCGGGGGACGGACUGGGAACGGCUCCCUCAGGGGCCUUCCCCGGGCAUCAAACAGUCGACUCAGAACUGGUACGGACAAGGGGAAUCUGACUGUUUAAUUAAAACAAAGCAUUGCGAUGGUCCCUACGGAUGCUCACGCAAUGUGAUUUCUGCCCAGUGCUCUGAAUGUCAAAUUGAAGAAAUUCAACCAAGCGCGGGUAAACGGCGGGAGUAACUAUGACUCUGAAUAUAGAUGUUAAUAUUCAGAAAAAGGCUGAAGCCAGAAACAAUGUACAAAAGCAAACCUCAACGACUAAGGUCGAAAUCUAGGCCCCAACGAUACAAACAUCGAGAGGGUCCGAGCACUAUCAUCUAGCUAGAAGAAACUAAAACCUAGCUACAUGCAUUAAAAUGUUAUUUACAACACCACUAACAGACGGUCUAGAAUUAUCAUAUAUGGCAUCAUCCCUCGCUUUCCAAAUAAAGUAAACCAUAGUAAAAAGAGCAAGCUCCCUCCGUCUACGAUCUGCUUUCCAAGUACCACGAUCCUUAGAAAUCCACUUGACACCUGCAAAGAUGGUAGAAAUACGUCUUUGCCACCACCCAAUGAAAGAGCACACUUGGUUCCAAACAGUACUUGAAACAGAACACCGAAAAAACAAAUAAUCCCUUGAUUCAUGAAAACCCACACAAAAAUAGCACUCCGUGCAAUCUCCCUCGGCAUGCCAACGAUCUAAAGUAGCUAAGCGAUUCUUAGCUACUAUCCACAUACGAAACACAUGCUUCCUAGGGACGCACGAAGACCAUAUCUUUGCAAAGAAGAACCUCCUUGGGGCUAAUGGGGAAACCAUAUUAUAAAGCUUCCGAGUAACAAGGCUGCCCAAUUCAGAACACUCCAUGAAAGCAUCAAUAGGAUCACCUGGCAACCGUGCUCGCAUACGAUCACGUGCCUUAAGCAAAUCCUUCCACACAAUAGACGCAUCAUUGGUUGGGAUAGCAUCCCAAACUGACACCCCAUGAACAUAAACUUCAUGAAUCCAUCGAAGCCAUAAUGAAUUCUUCUCCAAAUGAAUGUCCCAUAUAACACCACAAAAUGCUACAUUAUUCAUAAGCUCAAUGUUACUAAGUCCCAAUCCUCCUUGCUCCUUAGAGAGGAGAACUUCAGACCAUUUAACAGAGCCACGCUUUCUGC